GACGAACGCUGGCGGCGUGCCUAAUACAUGCAAGUCGAGCGGACCGGCUUGGGGCUUGCCUUGAUUCGGUCAGCGGCGGACGGGUGAGUAACACGUGGGCAACCUGCCCGCAAGACCGGGAUAACUCCGGGAAACCGGAGCUAAUACCGGAUAACACCGAAGACCGCAUGGUCUUCGGUUGAAAGGCGGCCUUUGGGCUGUCACUUGCGGAUGGGCCCGCGGCGCAUUAGCUAGUUGGUGAGGGAACGGCUCACCAAGGCGACGAUGCGUAGCCGGCCUGGGAGGGUGAACGGCCACACUGGGACUGGGACACGGCCCAGACGCCUUCGGGAGGCAGCAGUAGGGAAUCUUCCGCAAUGGGCGAAAGCCUGACGGGGCGACGCCGCGGGAGGGAAGAAGGCCGUCGGGUCGGAAAGCUCUGUUGUGAGGGACGAAGGAGCGUCGUUCGAAGAGGGCGGCGCGGUGACGGUACCUCACGAGAAAGCCCCGGCUAACUACGUG
rnacentral:rRNA from 1 species